GACCCUGGGGCUGAGGGGUCGGUAGAGCACGGGACUCCUAACCCCAAGGUCGCGGGUUCGAGUCCCACCCAGGUCA
rfam:Colinus virginianus strain Texas jcf7180006215479, whole genome shotgun sequence.